GGGGCCUUAGCUCAGCUGGGAGAGCGCUUCGCUGGCAGCGAAGAGGUCAGGAGUUCGAUCCUCCUAGGCUCCA
rfam:Sphingorhabdus marina DSM 22363 genome assembly, contig: BS33DRAFT_scaffold00002.2